rnacentral:rRNA from 1 species
GACAGGGGUCUCGAGCGUUAAUCGGAAUCACUGGGCUUAAAGGGUGCGUAGGCGGGCCUGUAAGUGUCCUGUGAAAUCCCCCGGCUCAACCGGGGAACUGCGGGGCAUACUGCGGGUCUUGGGCCAACUAGGGGCAGCCGGAACAAGCGGUGGAGCGGUGAAAUGCGUAGAUAUCGCUUGGAACGCCGAAGGUGAAAACAGGCUGCUGGGGUUGCGCCGACGCUGAGACACGAAAGCCAGGGGAGCAAACGGG